rnacentral:tRNA from 1 species
UUUAUAGGGAGACCCGACCCGAGUCAAGGUGAAAAAAACUAAUUAACCUGACUAUCGGAAAAUCCCGAGGUCGUUCGGGGUGAAAUGGAAAUCGUUGUUUCAAACUGAGUUCGGUUCGGAGUAAGGGCUAUUAGCUCAGGUGGUUAGAGCGCACCCCUGAUAAGGGUGAGGUCCCUGGUUCAAGUCCAGGAUGGCCCACCUGAACCCCAAAGCCAAAUUCCCCCCCCCUCAAACCCAACAGUUAAAUUUGUAAGCUGUAGGGCGAGCGGUGCGAGUGAGGAUGGCAUAACUCAAACGGGGGUAUAGCUCAGUUGGUAGAGCGCCUGCUUUGCAAGCAGGAUGUCAGCGGUUCGAGUCCGCUUACCUCCACCAAAACUCCAAACUACGAGAUUGAGAAAAAUUCAGCACCGGCUGUCAGCAGCAGACUGCUGGAGAAAAUCUCCAGUCAAAGAACCUUGAAAACUGCAUAGUCAUAAGUCAGGCAAGAAGGAGAUUAGUUUACUAAUCGACUUCACAGACAAAAAAAGUCAAGCAAAGCCAAAAAGCAAAAG